AGUUCCUUGAUGACAGAGAUACAAUCCCCCACUGACCAUGCAACUUUCAUAAUAGUCUGAUAUUCAGAGAAGUCUGAUAAUCUUUUUAUCAAAAAGAUCAGUGUGAUGUCAUUUUAUUUGAUAUGUAAAUGCAGAACCAUUUGUAAAUAAUAACUGAUGUCUUUUGGAUGAAUACAAGAAUAGAAGUAUAUUAUUAUCAA